rnacentral:lncRNA from 1 species
CUUCCAGUACACAGUGUCCCCAUUUGCCUGAGGGACAUGUGUUCCAAGACCCCAGGGGACACCGGAGACCGCAGGACCUGCUAUGCUGUUACUGGAUCCAAGACCAGCAGCUUGCCACAUACCAGGCCAAUUUAGUCCAGAGACAAGGUGCUGAAGCAAGGAAGAUGACUUUAUCUGAAAGGCCAGCUCAGUGACAAGAUGGAGAACUCUUAUCCAGAGUUCAUCUUGCCGGGAAGCUGAGAGUCUCACUAUGUAGUCCAGGCUGGCCUCAAACUUGUGGCAAUCCUCCUGCCUCGGCCUCACAAGUGCUGGAAUUACAGAAAUGUGUCACCAUGCCCAGCAAAGUCUUUGUUUCUAGCACUACUACCAGCAACACCAUAACAAAAAGAAGAAUGAACUGAAAAUCACCUCUUCUUUGAAGAAAGAAAUCUUCAAUACUAAAUAGACUUCAAUACCAAUAGAAAUCUUCAAAACUAAAAAGGAAAGGGAAGAGAGAACCAAAAUAUGGAACAGUAUCUCCAAGAACUGUAGGACAAUUCCAAAAUGUCUAGGUAUGUGUCGUGAGAACACCAGAAGAAGAGAGAGAAAGAAACAGAAAAAAAUCCUUGACGCAUUAGUGACUGUGAAUUUCUGAGAAUUAAUACUAAACUGCAAACCACAGAUCCAGGAAGCUCAGAGAACACCAAGCAGGAUGAAUACCAAACUGAUAAGUGAGCCUUUGGAAUUGCUCAGUACAGCUG